rnacentral:rRNA from 1 species
UACGUAGGGUGCGAGCGUUGUCCGGAUUUAUUGGGCGUAAAGGGCUCGUAGGCGGCGUGUCGCGUCGGGAGUGAAAGCCCGCUGCUUAACGGCGGGUUGGCUUCCGGUACGGGCAUCGCUGGAGUGCGGCAGGGGAGACUGGAAUUCCUGGUGUAGCGGUGAAAUGCGCAGAUAUCAGAGGAACACCGGUGGCGAAGGCGGGUCUCUGGGCCGUAACUGACGCUGAGGAGCGAAAGCGUGGGGAGCGAACAGG